CCUACGGGCGGCAGCAGUGGGGAAUAUUGGGCAAUGGGCGCAAGUCUGACCCAGCAAUGCCGCGUGAAGGAAGACGGCUCUCGGGUUGUUAACUUCCUUUUAGAGGGAGGAGCACAAGACUGUACCUCUUGAAUAAGCCACGGCUAACUAGGUGCCAGCAGCCGCGUUAAUACGUAGGUGGCAAGCGUUGUCCGGAUUUACUGGGUGUAAAGGGCGUGCAGCCGGGAAGACAAGUCAGAGGUGAAAUCCCGCGGCUCAACCGCGGAACUGGGUUUGAUACUGUUUUUCUAGAGUACCGGUGAGGUAAGCGGAAUGUAUGGUGUAGCGGGGAAAUGCGUAGAGAUAAGACAGAACACCAGUGGCGAAGGCAGAUGACUGAACGGCAUCUGACGGUGAGGCGCGAAAGCGUGGGGAGCAAACAGGAUUAGAUACCCUUGUAGUC
rnacentral:rRNA from 1 species